GAUGAACGCUGGCGGCGUGCCUAAUACAUGCAAGUCGAGCGAACGGACGAGAAGCUUGCUUUUCUGAUGUUAGCGGCGGACGGGUGAGUAACACGUGGAUAACCUACCUAUAAGACUGGUAUAACUUCGGGAAACCGGAGCUAAUACCGGAUAAUAUUUUGAACCGCAUGGUUCAAAAGUGAAAGACGGUCUUGCUGUCACUUAUAGAUGGAUCCGCGCUGCAUUAGCUAGUUGGUAAGGUAACGGCUUACCAAGGCAACGAUGCAUAGCCGACCUGAGAGGGUGAUCGGCCACACUGGAACGGAGACACGGUCCAGACUCCUACGAGAGGCAGCAGUAGGGAAUCUUCCGCAAUGGGCGAAAGCCUGACGGAGCAACGCCGCGUGAGUGAUGAAGGUCUUCGGAUCGUAAAGCUCUGUUAUUAGGGAAGAACAUAUGUGUAAGUAACUGUGCACAUCUUGACGGUACCUAAUCAGAAAGCCACGGCUAACUACGUG
rnacentral:rRNA from 1 species